GGGGCGUCGCCAAGUGGUAAGGCAACGGGUUUUGGUCCCGCUAUUCGGAGGUUCGAAUCCUUCCGUCCCAG
rnacentral:tRNA from 7 species